GGUAAACUAGCAGGAAGAGCUCAAGGCAAGGACUCUGUGCCUGACCACGGGAGGAGGCGCGUGCCUCAAAAAUCCUUGAUUGUUCCAAAAGGAACAAUCCCAAACCACCCGUUUCUCCCUCAGACUGAGGAAAGAAAAACGCAAUAAUUACAUCGGGUUGACUUUGUGGUUGCGGCACAUCUGCUCUUUAUGGAGACAAACUGCUGAUGUGGAGGAUCGCUGUGCUUUUCCUGUUAGCUUAAUGAAGCACAUAUUUUCGCUCUGCAUGUCCCAGAUUUUUUUUCCUGCUGUCAACAUUUGAUGUGAACUAUGUGGCCUGUGCACCAGAACAUUCUUCCUGUUUUGUUGCUGAUUCACGAGUUCUAGAAUGACGAAUCGAGCGUACCUAGAUGUCAGUUUCUUUGUGCUCAGUGGAGAUGAGGAUCACGGAAGUAAUCCUGGCAACCUUGCUGGCCACAGUAAGCAUCGCCCAUACCAUCCUUGUUUUGGAGGAAAGCGUAGCUGCUCAAGAGUCCACGCUAUGAAAACAGCGCCUCCACCCAUCAAACGUUAAGAACCGUUAGCGCCGGAGGCUGUGGCCUUAAAACAGAGACCAUGGAAAAAAGAAUCCAGGCCUCGCAACGGUGAGAUGAGAGCCAGCAGAGACUCAGUGAGGGUCACGCUGGGGGAGGGUGGUGACAAGAUGGGAGCUGGAACGCCUGAGCAGUAUUUUAAUUCAUUUGUCAUCAUCCAGAAAUUAACAAGAAGCCCCAAAAGUUGUAUUGGAGGAGCCCUGAAAGAAACUUACUUCAUUUA